rnacentral:rRNA from 1 species
GUGGGGUGACUGCGUACCUUUUGUAUAAUGGGUCAGCGACUUAUAUUCUGUAGCAAGGUUAACCG